rnacentral:rRNA from 1 species
UACGAAGGGGGCUAGCGUUGCUCGGAAUUACUGGGCGUAAAGCGCACGUAGGCGGAUUGUUAAGUCGGGGGUGAAAUCCUGGAGCUCAACUCCAGAACUGCCUUCGAUACUGGCGAUCUAGAGUCCGGGAGAGGUGAGUGGAACUGCGAGUGUAGAGGUGAAAUUCGUAGAUAUUCGCAAGAACACCGGUGGCGAAGGCGGGUCUCUGGCCCGAUACUGACGCUGAGGCACGAAAGCGUGGGGAGCAAACAGG